rnacentral:snRNA from 1 species
GUGCUCUCUUUGGCAACACACAUACCAAAAUUGGAACAGUACAGGGUAUAUUAGCAUGGCCCCUGCACAAAAACAAAUUCGUAAAAUAGUUAGAAUAGAAGUUAACUUUGUUU